CAACGUGAGCUAAUGAACUGUAUUUUAACCACCUGAUGCUGGUCACAGCUUUCAUCUAUCAGGCUUAUGGGCUGCAUGGAGGAGGGGAGGUAGAGAGCUUUGGCACAUCUCAGUGCUACUGGAGCUGUUCAUCAGUCUGCUCUGCAGUCUACUGCAGAGUUUGCUUUAUUAAAGCUUCCUGCACAUAUUCACUGGCACAGACAUCGGGAGACAAGCAAACACUUAGCCGAGCGCAGAGUGCUUGCAGCUGCAUUGCAGUGUUUGCUGGCAACAAAGUGAUGGGGGUGCUUCAUGCUGCUCUUGGAAGAACCCUGGUUCAGCACAAAGUGCUCUGAGUGGUGGAGCCUCUGUGGUGAUACACAGCAGGUUGAAGGUGAAGGUCUUUGCUGAGGCUUUUCCUCUCCUCUGAGUCACCAAGUUCCUUCAGAAGCCACAGAACCAGGAAUUUCUGAUGUGGAAAGCGUUGGUUUCUUCUGCGACAAUAGUGAGAAGAAAUAGGAAGAUUUGACAACUGCAGGGGAGUUUCAGAAACAUUUACAGGCAAAAAACCUUGGAGGAUCACAUUGCUUCUCCAGUUGCUGGACACUUCCAAGUGGAAGGAGUGCAAAAUCCAAUUUUUCCCGUGCCAAUCUCAACCAUGCUCAACUUAUGCCUACAGAAGAAACUGAGCACAUUUUUGGGGUGGAUGUAAUAUGUCCCCAGCUGGCACAGCCAUAGUGGGGCUGCCAUUAGCUUCUGCACUGAUGGACACAUCAAGGGCACUGUGUGCCAUGUUCAGUCCAGAAUUGGAGUGGAUGUGAAGCUGAGGUGAAAGGGAUGAUAGAAAACUGCUCAGAAGUCAAGAGGAAUUUUGUAUUGUGUGAGCUUGAUUUGCUAAAUAUGCCCCCAGAUUUUAUUCUUCAUUCAAAAACAGGCUCUUUCCUGAAUAGAAAUCUAUCUAUUUGAAGUCUAAGUGACUUUGAGAUUAAACAACAAAUUAGGUUUCUGGAUUUUCAAAUUCUAUUUUAAUUGAAUGUUCUAGCCAUGCAGAAUGUAAAGAAACUGAAAAUGUCUGAUGCCAAAUGGCACACUUAUUAUUUGAAAUUUGAUGACUAAUUUGUCCUUAAUUUUAUCAAAUUAUACUAAGAGGUCUUUCUUUUACAAAACAUUACAAAGCAAUACUGAGGCCAGAGAGGUGCUAGAGAAAUCUUUUUUGUCAUUUGGAGCACUGUACAGAAUUGCGUGGGUUUAAACAAAAUGUAUCUUGAUGUUUUACCUUAAAACUCUCUGUCCUUUUUCUCAGUUCAGCUGAAUCCUAUGAAAUAGAUACGCAGCUUGGAGUUCUUCACACCCCCACAAAUGCUAAAAAUGGCCCUGAUACAACAUGUAUUUAUGUAACAAAAUCAUCUGCAUUAAUAUCUUCCUUUCCUUUCGGUGAGAAGAACAGGGGGGACUCAAGCUGACACAUUUCAGUGCAGCCCCUUCCGUUCUUCUCCUUGCAUUUGGGGCAGCAGGGACAAGCACUGCUCUCCCUUCAAAACCAGGGUUGUGAAUGAACAGGAACGUGACAUGAAUAUCAGUAGUGAGUUUGAAGGAAGAUUGUGGUCCAAGCUUUCAGAUUCUCUUCCCCCGAAUAUUUGGUUUCCUGUUACAAAUCAAAAUCACUGGCAACGAGGUUUCUGGCCAUUCUCAUGCUGAUGUGCCAAAAUAAAGAGGGCAUUUAAAAAAUAAAAUUUUCUCUACUCCUGCUGAAAAGCAGAGAGACUAGUUGGCUCAUGGGGUCAAGCAUGAUGUAUAGAGCUUUCCACCUCUUGUUUGCAUCUGGCGGUGAGAAAUGUUCUCAGUGAGAAAUGUUCCUGCUUGGCAGCUGGUUGGUGUCCUGUUUGUCACCAUCAUGUUCAGAUGAACUCUUGCUCUUUGGGUCACAGCCCAUCCCCAGCAGCGGGCAGCUCUGCAGCCAGGGACACUGAGCAUGGGGUGGGGUUUAUCUCGGCCCCUGGGGCUGUUCCCCUGGGCCAGGAUGGAGUCCUGCUAUUAGGAAGCAGAAGGAGAGUGAACAGUACGUGCUGCUGCUGGAGGUAGCUUUGGUAACCUUGCCGUGUUUAUCAUUACUAGAGGAUCUGGGGAAAUAAACAGCCUGUUUUUCAGAUGCAGGCUUAUAUACUGACUGCUCUCCCUGCUGCAUGCUGGCAGCUGUGGGUGCAGGCCAGAAUGCCUUCCUGUGGCCUGUCACAGGCCGUGUUAUCCCAAAGAGUGACCUCCUGAACCCAUCCAGCCAAUGCUCAACGCCCUGACCCGCUGCCUGUUGCCUGCUGUGGAAAUGAGUCCUAACCAGCAGCGAGGAUCAAACCAAUGUUCUUAGCAGCAGCUGUAAACUCGAUAAGCUGCCUGUCCUCCUUUCUCUCCCCCGGCCCUGUCCCUCCCUUUGGUGUUGAAAUGAAGGCAGAGACGUGCUGAGAGAAGCAGUGCAGCAUUCUGUUUGCAGGAUAAUAUGCCGACCACAUGUAUGUAUUAAAGGCUGCAUGGAGUUAUAAUGAGCCAGGAGCAUUUAAAUGCAAGCCAAGGGGAAUUUGCUAUUCUGCGUGGGCAGAUUUCAAUUGUAAGGUUGGCAGCUCUGGUAUCCUGUUCUCUAAUGCCAUGGGAUGAGAAAAAAUAGGCUUUUCUUUCAGAGCAGUUGAUUAUUGAAUCCACACCAGCUGUUCACCCUAAUCCAAGCUUUCUGUACUCACUCCUUGUAAUAGAGGCAUCCCUCAUCUGUCCGUCUGUCCAUCCCCCCAUUCUCAUUUUCAUGGCUCUUUUGUAAUCUUUCAGAAAGGUGGUGAGCAAAUAUCAGCCAUCUAAAGCAGCGUAAGCGUCAGCACCAGGCAAGGGUUGUAACUAAUUAACGAUAGAAGCACCCCCAGCCACAUAUUGAAACUCAAAUUAUAUUUCUUAUCUGCCGCAAGAUGGGAAAAAAAGCUGGCAUGAAUUAGAAGGCAGAGGACUGUUUUUUAGCAGCGACACCUGACUCUACAGCCAGCAAACUGUGAGAUCAGAGCUGGAGCGAGAGCUGUGCUGGUGCAGAGCUGCAGCCACCUCUCCUGCCCCACUGAGAGUCUGGGCACACACACCAGGCAUGCGGCAGUAGGAAAGGAAAAUAAUCUUUUUAUUUUUUUAAUAAUAAAGGGGGAGGAAAGUGUGAGAUAAGGAAUGAAUUCCUUCUGGGUGCUUCUCACUCAGCCUGCAACGUUAUGUAAGGCUGGCACAGCUCAUGCUUGCUUUGCUCCGCCAUCAGCCUGGCUGUUUCAUCCCCGCUACACAAUUAUUUCAUCAGUCUCUCCUACUAGACAUCACAGUACUGCUACAUUUAGUCACAUUUAUUAGGAUAUUGGCUAAAGUAAAAUUAGGAAGCGGGGGGGCCAUGUUACUCAGGGACUGGGAGAACACAGCUCCAGGCGGUCCCUCCCCCAGAGGCAUUCAAACACUCUGGAGGAGGAGGACACAGGGCAGGGGGGUGACACACAGGAGCCAGGAGAAAGCUGUGAAAGCAGCAGCAAAAAUGUUGUUUCCAGGAAGAGCUUUGGCAGAGCAGAGUGAACUUAAUUGGGAAUGAGUGGAAAUAACUGCAGUAGAGGAUAAAAGCAGUAGGAGAAGGGACAUUGUAGGGGAGAGUAGGGUAGAGGAAAAGGUAUGGCAAUCAGUGACAAGCUGAAGAACAGAAGCUGAUGAAGG